AUUGAACGCUGGCGGCAGGCCUAACACAUGCAAGUCGAGCGGAGCGGCGGACGGGUGAGUAAUGCCUAGGAAUCUGCCUGGUAGUGGGGGAUAACGUCCGGAAACGGGCGCUAAUACCGCAUACUAUCAGACGAGCCUAGGUCGGAUUAGCUAGGUGGUGGGGUAAAGGCCUACCAAGGCGACGAUCCGUAACUGGUCUGAGAGGAUGAUCAGUCACACUAGGAAUGGGAUACGGCCCAGACUGCUACGGGAGGCAGCAGUGGGGGAUAUUGGACAAUGGGCGAAAGCCUGAUGCAGCGACGCCGCGUGGGGGAUGAAGGCUUUCGGGUUGUAAACCUCUUUCGCUAUCGAACGGGUAGGUGGAGAAGAAGCGCCGGCUAACUUCGUGCCAGCAGCCGCGGUAAUAC
rnacentral:rRNA from 1 species